CAUAUUAGAAAGGCAUAAGUGGCAGGUGAAGAAAGUCAGGAUUUCUAGUCAUGGAUUUCAGCAACAUUACGUCAACGGUUUGGUCAUAUAUCACGUGGCCCCUCAGCUUUAUUAGUCAACCAAUCAAACAGCCUAUUUUAGGUGGAGUUUUUGGAUGGGCCAUUGUUUGGAUUAUCUUUCACAUUGGAUACACAGUUCUAGUGUACCUUG